AUGAAAACGGGCCAACGGAUCCUUGCGGCUCUUAACGCCCAAGACGGUCCCUGGGGGAAUCAACUUCAGGGCGGCUUUUUUCGUCUCUUGCUUCCGAGCCGCAGACACUUGUUUCGGUCUGGAAAUAGCGCCUCCGUCGGAGUCACUCGUUUUCUACAAAGGCGACUUCUCCCGGGUGAACCGGGUUUCGUCUCGGCCUGUUUGGAUUCGAUUCUCCUUCCCCGCCAAGGGGCUUCCCGGCCACGCCACGAGCGCGCCUUGGAAACGCAAAGGCCCCCAAGUCGAUUUCACGCCAGAAAAAGCGCAAGACCCGGUGAGGAUCCACGGGAACAAAGUUCGGGGCCGGGAAGAUUCAGGCUUCGGUUUCCUGGCAGGGCACCUCCCCCGCCGCCCUUUCCCAACAUGCUCUCGCCACCCUCGCGCGCUUCCCUUUGUGUUUGGGGGGCCUGCAACGUGCGCCCCCCGCCCUUGUCGACUCGAGGGCACCGUGUCCCGUCUUUGCAAGGCAGCGCGCAUCUUCGGGGCCGUUUCAAUCCAAAGUUUCCCUCCUCCCUUUCCUCCUCGUCCUUCUUUCUUUCCUCCUUUCUCUUUUCCUCUUUCUUCUCUUCCUUUUGCUCCUUUUCUGUCCCCAUCUUUUCCUCCUCCUCCUCUACCUCUUUCCCUCCUUUUCGUUUUCCUCCUAGUCCUUGUCCUUCAUUUCUCCCUCUCCCUUUUCCUCCUCCUCCUUUUCCUCUUUUCACUUUCCCUUCCCUUUCUUUUCCUUUUGCUCCUUCUUCUCUUCUGUUUCAGCCAGAGCAUCUCAGAAACCGCAGGUCGCCCCUCUGGUUUUGCCCCUUCCUCAAACGUUCAGCUACGCUCCUCUUUGUCCUUAUAGCAGCAAGCGGGGGUCCCUACAGAAUCUGGAGGGGAUCCGGAGGGGGGGGCUGGGUCUUGCUCCCCACUAUAUUUCCGCCGCUCUCUUCUCUUUCUGCCAUCCACGACUCCUUCAUUUCGGUCCCUCCGUUCGCUCCCGAUUGUUCUCGGAUUUCUCAACUCGGUCUUCAUCAGAUCUUGUUUGCCUUUUUAAAGGGCGACCGGGAAAAGGUCCUUCCCGGAAAAGAAAUAAGGGGGGACAAAUAA
rnacentral:lncRNA from 1 species